UACGUAGGGUGCAAGCGUUGUCCGGAAUUAUUGGGCGUAAAGAGCUCGUAGGCGGUCUGUCGCGUCUGGUGUGAAAACUCAGGGCUUAACCCUGAGCUUGCGGUCGAUACGGGCAUGACUGGAGUUCGGCAGGGGAGACUGGAAUUCCUGGUGUAGCGGUGAAAUGCGCAGAUAUCAGGAGGAACACCGGUGGCGAAGGCGGGUCUCUGGGCCGAUACUGACGCUGAGGAGCGAAAGCGUGGGGAGCGAACAGG
rnacentral:rRNA from 1 species